GUGUCAGCAGCCGCGGUAAGACGAACCGUGCGAACGUUGUUCGGAAUCACUGGGCUUAAAGGGCGCGUAGGCGGCUUCCCAAGUCCGGGGUGAAAUCUUUCGGCUUAACCGGAAAAGUGCCUUGGAUACUGGGAGGCUCGAGGGGGGUAGGGGCAAGCGGAACUUCCGGUGGAGCGGUGAAAUGCGUUGAUAUCGGAAGGAACGCCGGCGGCGAAAGCGGCUUGCUGGACCCCAUCUGACGCUGAUGCGCGAAAGCCAGGGGAGCGAACGGGAUUAGAUACCCCGGUAGUCCUGGCCCUAAACGAUGGGUACUAGGUUGUGGGCCUGACAUGGGCUCCCAGCCGGAGCAAAAGUGCUAAGUACCCCGCCUGGGGAGUAUGGCCGCAAGGCUGAA
rnacentral:rRNA from 1 species